GAUGAACGCUAGCGGCAGGCUUAAUACAUGCAAGUCGAGGGGCAUCAAGGUACACGAAAGUGUAUUGUUGGCGACCGGCGGACGGGUGAGUAAUAGGUAGGUAACCUACCUCAUACUGAGGCAUAGCUGGGAGAAAUUCCAGGUAAUUCCUCAUGAGGUUAUAUGACACAUGUGAUAUAAUCAAAGGUAUCGCAAGGUACUGGUAUGAGAUGGGCUUACUGACCAUUAGCUAGUUGGUGAGAUAAGAGCUCACCAAGGCGAAGAUGGUUAGGGGUUUUGAGAGAGAGAUCCCCCACAUUGGAACUGAGAUACGGUCCAGACUCCUACGGGAGGCAGCAGUAGGGAAUAUUGGGCAAUGGGCGAAGCCUGACGCAGCCAUGCCGCGUGAAUGAUGAAGGUCUUAGGAUUGUAAAAUUCUUUCACCGGGGACGACAAUGACGGUACCCGGAGAAGAAGCCCCGGCUAACUUCGUGCCAGCAGCCGCGGUAA
rnacentral:rRNA from 1 species